UACGGAGGGUGCAAGCGUUAAUCGGAAUUACUGGGCGUAAAGCGUGCGUAGGCGGUUCGUUAAGUCUGUUGUGAAAGCCCCGGGCUCAACCUGGGAAUGGCAAUGGAUACUGGCGAGCUAGAGCGUGUCAGAGGAUGGUGGAAUUCCCGGUGUAGCGGUGAAAUGCGUAGAGAUCGGGGAGGAACAUCAGUGGCGAAGGCGGCCAUCUGGGACAACACUGACGCUGAGGCACGAAAGCGUGGGGAGCAAACAGG
rnacentral:rRNA from 1 species